UAAAGUUGUUUUGUUUUGUUUUGAUCUGAGAUGCUGUAUCACCGUGUGUCUGUGAGCUCCAGCGGGCAUCAGCAGUCGGAGUGACCGGUGUCCGGUGCGGGUGUGCGGGUGUUCGGUUCACCUGAAGCUCAGGCCGCGUCUCGAACUGGCGGAAUACAACGCGCAUCAUCAUCAUCAUCAUCAUCAUCAUCUUCAUCACCAUCACAGGAUCAGGAUUCAUUGUGUCUGAAGGAAAGUUGGGUUCAUUACUGUGGAUUCAACCUGUUUCUCCUUCACUGCUGCACAGAAGCUUCUAGUGUUUGAUACAAGGAUCAUUUCAGGGAUAUUUUUCCAAUUAUCUGUCACAUAAAAAACAUCACCGUAGAACAAUCUCUUUCUUUAAUGACACUCAGGAAAAUGUCUAAAGAUCUAAUCUGAUCUCAUUCUGUACUUUAUUUAUGUGCCUUUUAUUAAUAAAAAGCAACAAUUAAAAACAUUAAA